rnacentral:lncRNA from 1 species
GUUUGAAGCAAUGGUUAGCAGUUUGCCUAAGGAAAUCGUACAUGAUAUCCUUUUGAGACUACCUCCUAAAGCUUUGAUGAGAUGCACCUCGGUGUCCAAGCCUUGGAACUCCAUGAUAAAAAGUCCCAGCUUUAUUCGCACCAAGGUAUAAAAUAUCAAUGAUAUCGGAAAUGUCGGUAGUCCAAAAACACGGAAAUUUCGAUGGAAAUAUCGGGAUAUUAUCGAUAUCGAUAAAAAUUGAAUAAAAACCAUGGAAAUUGUUAGAAAAACUUGGAAAUUUUUAUUGAAACUUUGCUGGAUGUUUAUUUAGUCAAUUAUCUAUUAGUUUAUUACAAAAAAUUGGAAGGAAAUGCAUUGCAUGAUAGAUAUAACUGAUUUAAAUUGAUUAUAUAGCGAGCUGGCAAACAUGGUGAGUGUAGAAAAUAUGUAGUAAUUAAUGAAAGAAGUUUAAACACACCAUAAUCAUUUAUAUAUAAUGAAUUAGUACAAUAUUUUACACUUUAUACAUUUCAUGGUAAGAUACAUGAGUGACUUAGCAAGGUCUAAAAUAUCGAUGAUAUCGGAAAUAUCGGUAGUCCAAAAAAAUAUCACUAGUCCAAAAACGCGGAAAUUUCGAUGGAAAUAUCGGGAUAUUAUGGAUAUUUUAGACCAUGAUUCGCACCCACCUCAGCCGUACCAUCGAUUUUAAGCAGUUUGGCACCCACCGACUCCUUCUGCAUUGUGUUAGUGGAGACAAUCCAGUGGAGCAGAAUUACUAUUUGCAUUAUGAUAACCAUGCUUUUGAUGAGUACUGCAAGCUAG